rnacentral:lncRNA from 1 species
AGUGGAUGUACACAGAAUGCCCCAUGGGCAGGCACAGGUGGCAGCUAAUUCCAGCCGGGCUUGCCUGGGGAUUCCUUAUGUGACACCCACUGUAGACGCAGCCUGCAGCUGUUUUCUUCUGCGAUCACCUCCGCCUUACAAAGGAAGGCCAUGCACUCCUGCGUGAAGGGCUGCUCUUUGCUUCUGGUCCAGACCUGCUCAGACUCCAUCACACCCAUGGCGUGGCUUUGAGACGAUACUCAUCAGGCUCCCUGAGCUGCUCGGGGACAGGCCACUGUGAGAAUUCCACUUUGAUUUUCAAGCAGCUGAGAAACCAGAGACGUGGUGAAUCCCCUCAGCCCUCCGCUCGGAAUAAGCUCUCUGUCUGGUGAGAGCAGUCACUCCUCCUGUUCUUUGAGGACAAGACCAGUAAAAGACUUGAGUCACCAUUUCCAAAGAAAAACAAGAAGAAUGCAAAUUCCUCAGCUUAAAAAUAUAUACAAAGGGACUGAUUCGAUAUAACUCUCUGGAGUAAGAAGAGCUGUGACUUCCAUUGGCUGGUGCUGUUUAGAGAAGGAUCGCUGUGCUGAAGUUGAAAAAGAAUGUAUUCAGCUUUGAUAUUUGAAGGAAGUGUCCCAACCAUCAUGUAUUUCUGCCUGGUUUUCUUUUAGAAUGCAGCAGCUGGAGUCGACAUUAAAGAGCGCCGUUUCCCAUUUGCUGCGGAAGAUGUUUAAUUGGAAGUCUCUCCCUGCCCCUCGUUUUCAGGAAAAUCACGCUGGUAGGCUUCAAGUGGCCAUGGUGGGAGCAUUGACCCAGGGAAAUCCACAUUUCCCAACACGUGCUGGAUAUCUGAGGACUCCAGAGCUACUGUCUGCUCAACAUUAAAAAACAAACAAACAAACAAACAAAAAACCUCACAUUUUUAAGUGAAACAGGUUUAUUGGCAGAUUUCUUAACUCAAUUUGCAAGGAUACCUUAGACCAGGGGUCGACAAACUACAUUCCACAGAACAAAGCUGCCCAUUACUUGUCUUUUUUUUUUUUUUUUGAGAUGGAGUCUCACUCUUGUUGCCCAGGCUGGAGCGCAGUGGUGUGAUCUCAGCUCACUGCAACCUCCACCUCCCUGGUUCAAGCGAUUCCCCUGCCUCAACCUCCCAAGUAGCUGGGAUUACAGGCACAUGCCACUAUGCCCAGCUGAUGUUCUUGUAUUUUUAGUAGAGAUGGGGUUUCACCAUGUUGGCCAGACUGGUCUCGAAUUCCUGACCUCAGGUGAUCCACUGCCUUGGCCUCCCAAAGUGCUGGGAUUACAGACGUGAUCCUAAGUACAGUUUUAUAGGACAACCAUGCUCAUUCAUUUCCGUAUCAUCCAAGGCUGCUCUACAGCAGCAGAGUUUAGUGGUUGGGACAGAACCUGCACAACCUGCGCAACCUGCAAAGGCUGAAUAUUUACUCUCCAGCUCUUUAGAGAAAGUUUGCAACUCCUACUUUAGACUGAUGCUUCUUCAAUACUAAUGUGCCAGUCACCAAAUCCCAGGCUACAACCAUAAACCACAGCUGAAAGGAAACUCGGUAGCACUUGCCUUCAAUAGCAGAUGCUGUAAAAGGAAAGCAAGGUGACCAAGAAAACAUUGCAAAACUCUGGACAGAAUCUGGGGCCUGAAGACUCUGAGUCAGAGGCCUCUUUUUGCUCUAAACACGUAUUAGCAAGAGUCCAAGAGGCAUCGAAGAUGAGUUAGCAGCAAAAUGGGGCUUUGUCCUUCAUGUAUAAAGGAUUAAACGAUAAUUGAAAAUGCAAUAACUUUCACCCUGUGGGAUUCAGUGAUGUUCAGUGCUGUGAUUACGUCCAACCUCAAAUCUAACUGUCCCAAGUGGGACAGCCCAAACAUAGGGAGCCACUGCACUAAGAUGGUGUGAUUUAUUAAGAUAAUAAAGCUAGCGGGAUGACAAAUGUUUCCUUUUUUCCCCCUAUAUGUUUCCCCCAAAGGACCGUCUGCUUUUGCAUGUGAUUUGACUAUCCGCUGCAGACCUAGCAUGGUAUAUCAGCAAAGUGGAAAAGUAACUGAAGUGAUUGUUUAUCAUCUUGUACUAAGUUACACCACUUUAAGCUUUAACUCCACAGCUCUUGCAUUAUUUUAAAACCGUCUGGCAGAUCUCUAAAACUAAUGGUACAAACCACUCUGUGAUACAUUAAAAUACAUUCCACUCUGUCAUACUGCAAACAAGUAGCUGCUCCCCAGUCUUUGAAAAAGUACUUUCAAGAUAAAAUAUGUACUCAUGGGUUCUGCAGGUUUUUAAAAUGUCUUGAAUCUUCACAGAUUUAGUCGGGGGGAGGGGGUGUUUCAUGUAAAAUGUGUUUUUCCUUGACAUUUAGAGGUCUUGCAAAGUGGUUUAUUAUAGAUCUUGUGGACAUCUUGCUAUUUAAUUAAAUUUCAGAAAUAUAUUCUCUGCACUCAUAAGAAGAGUGUAUUUGUUCACUGUCUAUUUAUUCUUUUUCUGUUUCUAACACAAAAUUAUCAGCUCAAAAUAAGUCAUCAGAGGCACUUAAAAUUUUUCAGGGUCAGAAAUCUAAUUAACCUCAGCAACUCUGCUUAAAAUGUUGAAUAAUAUAAGACAAGUCCUUACAGGAAUCUUUGGUAAUAUUCAGUCUUGGUGAUAUAUUUACAAUUAUUUUUUAAAAAACUGACCCUCAAUGUCUAUUUUCAAAAGACAUAAGGGAAUGGAAAGCAGAUUGAGAAACAAGUCACUUGUGAGGUCUCAUCCAAUACAUUUCAGUAAAUUUUUGCUGGAUGUAAGCAGCUGAAUUUGUAAACUAUUUCAUUACCUUACAUUUUAUAGAGAAAAUUAAGAGUAAGUUCACAGUAAAUGAACCUCUCAUCUGAAAAUAGCUCUUUCUUCUCAUUUAAACCUAAAAUCAGAAGGAUACAACUGAAAUGUGUUCAACCCAACACAUUUUGAGAUAAAUACAUUUCACAACUGUCUUAUUGGUGGAUUUGCUUAGCAAGAUUUGAGCAUUUGUUAUCCUCUGAUGAAUUCAGAGGAGU